UGAGGAAUAUUGGUCAAUGGGCGAGAGCCUGAACCAGCCAAGUCGCGUGAGGGAUGACGGCCCUACGGGUUGUAAACCUCUUUUAUAAGGGAAUAAAGGACAUCACGUGUGGUGUUUUGCAUGUACCUUAUGAAUAAGCAUCGGCUAACUCCGUGCCAGCAGCCGCGGUAAUACGGAGGAUGCGAGCGUUAUCCGGAUUUAUUGGGUUUAAAGGGUGCGCAGGCGGCGCGCCAAGUCAGCGGUCAAAGUUCCGGGCUCAACCCGGUGUCGCCGUUGAAACUGGCGUGCUCGAGUGCGUGCGAGGAAGGCGGAAUGCGUUGUGUAGCGGUGAAAUGCAUAGAUAUGACGCAGAACUCCGAUUGCGAAGGCAGCUUUCCAGCGCGCUACUGACGCUGAGGCACGAAAGCGUGGGGAUCGAACAGGAUUAGAUACCCUGGUAGU
rnacentral:rRNA from 1 species